CGAGCCGCGGGUAGCGAGCGUGGGCCAGGUGCAAUUCCACCGGGUGCCGCCCCAGAGCGUGCGGCCAAACAGGCGGAGCCUCCGCCGCGGCUGAGGCUGCCGGUAUGAGGGCCUGGGAGGAGGCGCUGGAGAGCGAGCGCCGCCCGCCGGCGGGAAGAGGUGCGCUUGGCGGGCUCCAGUCUGCCGCCGCGGAGCGCUGGGAGAAGAGCAUCCUCCACCUUCAGGGGAAAGAUUUGCUGAAGAUUCAGUGAGUGUUCACCGCUGGACUUAGCUGACUGCUUCGGGCAGGGAACAUUAGGUGGUGUGCCACUUACGUUGUAUUUGUGCCGUUGAAUGUAAUCAGACUCCGGUGUUGAAAACAAGCUGAAGGCAAGUAAAUAGUUUCUACAGCCAGGAAGGUGAGCAAUGGCCAUAGUUAAUUCUUUGUAAUCUACUUCAUAUAUUCUAUUCAUUUUGUCAGAGAAAAAUAUUAUACUGCAUCUUCAAUGUAAGCACAUCCUGAGAUACAUUACUGGAAUAUGGUUAGAGAAUGCA